UAAACCGUACUGAAAACCGACACAGGUGGUCAGGUAGAGAAUACUCAGGCGCUUGAGAGAACUCGGGUGAAGGAACUAGGCAAAAUAGCACCGUAACUUCGGGAGAAGGUGCGCUGGCGUAGGUUGUAGGAGUAUACCUCCGAAGGCUGAACCAGUCGAAGAUACCAGCUGGCUGCAACUGUUUAUUAAAAACACAGCACUCUGCAAACACGAAAGUGGACGUAUAGGGUGUGAUGCCUGCCCGGUGCUGGAAGGUUAAUUGAUGGUGUAAUCGAAAGAGAAGCUCCUGAUCGAAGCCCCAGUAAACGGCGGCCGUAACUAUAACGGUCCUAAGGUAGCGAAAUUCCUUGUCGGGUAAGUUCCGACCUGCACGAAUGGCAUAAUGAUGGCCAGGCUGUCUCCACCCGAGACUCAGUGAAAUUGAAAUCGCCGUGAAGAUGCGGUGUACCCGCGGCUAGACGGAAAGACCCCGUGAACCUUUACUAUAGCUUGACACUGAACAUUGAAUUUUGAUGUGUAGGAUAGGUGGGAGCCUAAGAAGCAGUCACGCCAGUGAUUGUGGAGGCGUCCUUGAAAUACCACCCUUUAACGUUUGAUGUUCUAACGAAGAUUGCGAAACGCGGUCUCGGACAGUGUCUGGUGGGUAGUUUGACUGGGGCGGUCUCCUCCCAAAGAGUAACGGAGGAGCACGAAGGUUUGCUAAUCACGGUCGGACAUCGUGAGGUUAGUGCAAUGGUAUAAGCAAGCUUAACUGCGAGACAGACAAGUCGAGCAGGUGCGAAAGCAGGUCAUAGUGAUCCGGUGGUUCUGAAUGGAAGGGCCAUCGCUCAACGGAUAAAAGGUACUCCGGGGAUAACAGGCUGAUACCGCCCAAGAGUUCAUAUCGACGGCGGUGUUUGGCACCUCGAUGUCGGCUCAUCACAUCCUGGGGCUGAAGUAGGUCCCAAGGGUAUGGCUGUUCGCCAUUUAAAGUGGUACGCGAGCUGGGUUUAGAACGUCGUGAGACAGUUCGGUCCCUAUCUGCCGUGGGCGUUGGAGAAUUGAGAGGGGCUGCUCCUAGUACGAGAGGACCGGAGUGGACGCAUCACUGGUGUACCAGUUGUCUCGCCAGAGGCACUGCUGGGUAGCUAAAUGCGGAAGAGAUAAGUGCUGAAAGCAUCUAAGCACGAAACUCGCCUUAAGAUGAGUUCUCCCACACAAUAAGUGUGUAAGGGUUGUUGGAGACUACGACGUAGAUAGGUCUGGUGUGUAAGCGGUGUGAGCCGUUGAGCUAACAGAUACUAAUUGCCCGAGAGGCUUAACUAU
rnacentral:rRNA from 1 species